AAUUUCUCACAAAUUCAGGUUUUCAUUUAAACAAAAUCUUUCUAAUUUUUCUCAUUUUCCUCUCUCUCACUUUCAUAUAUCACUUCGUCCAAUCCCAUCUCUCUCUAACUCUCUGACAAAGAAAAAAAAGAAAAAAAGAAAAACUUUCCCUCAUUGUCUCUCUCUCCAAUCACCGAUCCUCCAAUUCCCACUGCGAUCUAGGGUUUCUUCCCAAACCGCAUUUGAAUCUCCAAUUUCAAUUCCCUCUUCUGCCUAUCGCGGAUUCUCCGUAGGGUUUCCCCUGAUUCGGUAAUUGUUGGAUGAGAGAGAGAGAAAAGAUUGAAUGACGACGAGCAUGGAGAUCGUGAUCGAUGCGGCGUCGUUCGACGCCGACCUCUUGCAGCUCUCCGAGGUUUCUCCUUUGGCACUCAAAUCCAAUCCGGUCUUUACCGAGAAGCUCUUCGAGCAAUGGCUUUCGCUUCCUGAUUCUAUUCGUCAGGUAACAUUAUUGCUCAAUGAAGCAAAGGCGGGUGGUCCCUUGAACGUCCCUGGAAAUUCUUCUAGUCCACGUGCUUCCACAAGCAAUUCUUUGCCUUCUAUGUUUCCUGCAGGCAGUGCUCCUCCACUUUCACCGAGGAGUUCAUCUGGUUCCCCUCGGAUAAUGAAACAGAGGCCUGGACCUUCUAUUUUAAGUUCACCCCUGAAAGUGGUUAGUGAGCCGGUUAAAGAAUUGAUACCUCAGUUUUACUUUCAAAAUGGUCGUCCACCACCAAAUGAAUUAAAAGAGCAAUGCUUAAUGAGAAUUAAUCGGUUUUUCCAUGGGCACUUGGAUGGACUCCAGAUGCAUGAAUUUAAAUUAGUAACUAAGGAAGUCUGCAAGCUACCAUCAUUCUUCUCCACGGCCCUUUUUAGAAAGAUUGACGUUAAUGGCACUGGUUUGGUGACAAGGGAUGCAUUUGUUCAGUACUGGGUCAUUGGAAAUAAGUUGACAAUGGAUAUAGCAACCCAAAUGUAUACCAUCUUGAAGCAACCGGAUAUCAAAUUCCUUACUCAGGAUGACUUCAAACCUGUUCUUCGUGAACUUUUAGCAACUCAUCCAGGGUUGGAGUUCUUACAGAGCACACCAGAGUUUCAGGAAAGAUAUGCUGAAACUGUAAUAUACAGAAUAUUUUACUACAUAAAUAGAUCGGGGAAUGGUCAACUUACACUCAGGGAGCUGAAACGUGGAAACUUAAUUGAUGCAAUGCAACACGCAGAUGAGGAAGAAGACAUCAAUAAAGUUUUGAGGUACUUCUCGUAUGAACAUUUUUAUGUUAUAUACUGCAAGUUUUGGGAGCUGGAUACGGAUCAUGAUUUUUUGAUCGACAAAGAGAACCUUAUCAGAUAUGGUAACCAUGCGCUUACCUACCGGAUUGUUGAUAGAAUAUUUUCUCAGGUUUCAAGGAAGUUCACUAGUAAGGUUGAGGGGAAGAUGGGGUAUGAAGAUUUUGUGUACUUCAUACUGUCAGAGGAGGAUAAAUCAUCUGAACCUAGUCUCGAGUAUUGGUUCAAAUGCAUAGACCUGGAUGGAAAUGGGAUUCUGACACGGAAUGAGCUGCAAUUCUUCUAUGAGGAGCAGUUGCAUCGAAUGGAAUGCAUGGCCCAAGAGCCUGUGCUCUUUGAGGAUAUAUUGUGCCAAAUAAUUGACAUGAUUGGACCUGAGAAUGAGAGCUAUAUCACACUGCAUGACCUGAAAGGUUGUAGACUUUCGGGAAGCGUAUUCAAUAUCCUUUUCAACCUUAAUAAAUUUAUGGCCUUUGAAACUCGUGAUCCAUUUCUCAUUCGUCAGGAACGAGAAAAUCCAACAUUGACAGAGUGGGAUCGCUUUGCACAUAGAGAAUACAUCAGGCUUUCAAUGGAGGAAGAUGUUGAAGAUGCCUCUAAUGGAAGUGCAGAAGUUUGGGAUGAAUCACUUGAGGCUCCUUUCUGAGUUUAAUUAGCUAUUGCUUUCUUUGCACUUAAAGGUGGACUCAGAAAGUUAAAAGUGGAGUGCAAAUUCUGGAGUUGUGUGGCCCUCAUAACAAGUUCUAACAAGGAAGCUCCGAAUUCUUCUUAAACUGGCCAUCCAUCAAAGAAACUGUUUUACUCAGGAUUAUUUCUUAAAUGGACUAUGCAGACACUCGACCUUAUCAGAUGGACAUUCUGGGCUUGGCUGUGUGGAAUGAAUUUUUGUUGUGCUGGAGUUGAAAAUAUUCAGAUCUUUGUGUGCAUUGAACUGACAAACAUUGGGGAGAGUUAAAAGGAAAAUUCCUUUACAUCAUACCAAGAUGUCUCAUGGAGGUGAUUAUAUAAUCCCAGGUUGACGUAGUUCAGAACAUUAAGUGUAUUUGAUUAUUUUCCUUAUUUUAAUUAUGUUAAGUUGUAAGUUAUCAUUCAUGUCUUUCCUCCCAAGUUAGUGGAUGGUUCUUUCAAUACUUCAUUUGUAUGGUAAUGUGCUGGUCAGUGUCAUAGCAAUUUUGGCUUUCACUCUGGUUAUUUUUAAAUUUGAUUCAGUCAA